rnacentral:lncRNA from 1 species
CCCAAAUUUAACAGAGAUAACCAAGGUACCCAAGGUGAAGGGACUGGCCUAUGACAUCACAAUACUGAAUGUUUGAUUUACUAAGGACAAAAGUGGUUUCAAGCACCUCUUCUCUGCCUCCCAUCUACUCAGUGGGCAUGGAUUACAGCAGUGACCCCAAGAGGGAAAUGAAGUAUCAACCAAAUGCCUUACCAUACACUUGGACAUACAUCUCCCUCUUCAACAACUCUAGUCUUAACUUUCGGAGUCAUCAUUCAUUUGAAAAGCUCUGGCAUGAGAGAAAGCUGCCUUUUAUGUCCACUAAACUCCCAGCUAUGGAAAAUGUUUGGGAGAUAAACGGAUGCCUGACUGGUGCUUCUGCUGCUUUUUAACCAUGACCAUGUAUAACAGGACUGAAUAAAAUGCGAGCAUGCUUAGAUGGAAUCCUGUCUUCCUUUGAUGAGGGCCCCUCUUAAUUGGGGUCAUGAUUAUCAGUGCCAGU